rnacentral:lncRNA from 1 species
ACAAAUUAGAGGGUCAGACACAGCUCUGGAGAUAUUAGAAAGUUAUUAUUAAAUACAGUUGGAAAAAGGAGGCCAGGGGAGAAGCUGAAGGAAGGCCUGAGCCUUGGAAGGCUGGUUCUGGGUGAGCGGCUCAUCAGAGUGGCUACAAACCAGCCAGCAACUUGCAUCACAAAGGCCCUAGCAGGUCCUUAUCUGUCGGCUCCCACAGCAGCUGCAUCACCAGCAGUGCCUCCAGGCAGAGAGGCAGGGGCCCCCCUGUGGCCUCCCAGAGAGCCAGGCUCCAUAAGAUCCAGUCUGUAUUCAAAACCUGGUUCUGGCAACUCUUCCACUGGCGAUCAUUCCCAACCUGUGCUUUCUGAUGAGCACGCUCUGGAGCCUCACGUGACCACUGGCAGUCCCACCGAUGGGUACUGCGUAGUCACCUGAAAUUCAUCUGCAGCUCAAGAAAUGUACAGCAUAUCUCUUUCCAUGCAAGACACAAGAUAGCAAAGAUACCCUGACAUUUUGAAAAGGAGAGCUCAGAGGGCUGGGGGGAGGCUGCAGAAAUUGCUUAGUUCUCUGGAAUCAAUUGUUGGCCAGCCCACGACUGCACAUGGUUAUUAGAAGGUAAGAGUGAGGGCCCCAGAUUCCCUUCCCUGGGCAAUCUAGGAAUCUUACAGUAGCAAUUCAAGCGACUUCUCCACCCCCGUGGGCUCAGCUCCUCCUCCCUCCCUUGUUCCUCUACAGAAGCUGAACUGGGGGCACAUACCCUUUCCCCACCUCGCAGAUGCCGCCUCACAUUGUACCCGGAGCACCGCCAGGGUGCCCGAUUCCCCGACUUCCACCCACAUCUCAGCAACGAAUUUAAAUCGUUCUGCUCCUUUCUCAUCCAGUACGUUGCUAAGUUACGGAAGAUAAUUAGGAACAGGUUUGGGAGCUCAUUACAAUUCCAGUCACGGUGCUCUCUCUCUGCCCCCCUCUUUUUCUGAGGAGCAGGAGGAAAAUACUCACUGAGCCCAGCCUUGGCUCGUAGAGCAGGUAACGCAGGUGCUGGGCAGGGUGCAGCGGGCUCUUGCAAGCUGCACCGAUGAAUACGGGAUGCGGAAAUCCAGAAACAUGUCAUUGGACACCCCCCCCCCCAACACCUGCUUUGAGGAAAAUGUCAGAAAAGCACCUGGCCUCUAGAUGGGGAUUGCUGGCGCCCAGGGACAAGGGAUGGAGCAGCCCGGAAAUGAGCAGUUAAAACUUUAGAAUUGGAAAGUAGCAGGCGGAAUCCGUCUAAUCACCGUUUGGCUGAACGUGGUACUUCAAACCGGUGAGCGCAGCCUUUGUGUCCGAAGACGGACUCCCCCCCCCGGACUCCCCAGCAACCCUUGCAGGACAGAUCGGAAGAAAGCAUAGUUUUAAUCCUCCCUGAUUAAUGUUACAAAAUGAGCUCCCCUGACACCUGAAACAUCAUUCUCUGCACAGAUGGUGAAGGAGGACAGGUCGGAAACUGAGGGAAAUCUAACGAAACUCCAACCACCCGCAAGCGGAGAGAAGGCACCAUAUGCUCUCUUGAGGUCGGGGUCCCGGUUACUCCCUGAAUGACCCGGUACCCGCUGGCCCAAGCCAGACCCAUCCUCCUUUGACCCCACCGGCUUGUUUAUGAUCUGCGGGUCCGGUCCCCGUUUUCUCAUAGUGCCCGAAGAGGCAGGGCCGAGGCUGACUCGGGCGCAAGGCACCCUUUGUUAGAUGCCAGGAGCUGAUGCUCCCUGCAUUUGCCUUUGGGCAUCUGCCUCUAUUCUGUUUCCCUGGGAGCUCUCCAUUUGCUGGUGCGGGAUCUAGUCGGUCCCCAAAUUAUUUACUUACAUAUUUUUAACAUUUUAUUUAUUUAUAAAUAU